rfam:Alphaproteobacteria bacterium RIFCSPHIGHO2_12_FTLL_63_12 rifcsphigho2_12_scaffold_1974, whole genome shotgun sequence.
UGGCGGCUGCCCGGCGCGUCUGGACGACAUUCCCCGGGGCCGUAUCUCACAGAACGGGAGCUGCCUCUGGCGGAGACCGUGGUCUCCAUCAUGCGGCGCCCACCUGGUCCUUAGGGUCCAGGGCGAACAAGAGUCCGACGGCCAGGGCGGCGCAAUU